UUUAAGAGAUUUUCUAUAAUUCCAUUUAGUGGACCUUUGGAACCUAGCUGCUGUAGUGGCUUGCUUUUCUAGCCACAGAAGAGCAGAUUCUUGUUUACUGUGAAACCUGUCACCAUUUAUUUUGUAUCAGAUUCUUACUUGCAUAGUAACCUUC
ensembl:snoRNA